GUUGUGGCUCAGUGGUAGAGCACUCGCCUAACAAGUGUGAGGCCAUGGGUUGGAUCCUCAGCACACA
rnacentral:tRNA from 1 species